UAAGGAAUAUUGGUCAAUGGACGGAAGUCUGAACCAGCCAUGCCGCGUGAAGGAUGACUGCCCUCUGGGUUGUAAACUUCUUUUAUAGGGGGCGAAAAAAGGGAAUUCUUUCUCGUCUGACGGUACCCUAUGAAUAAGCACCGGCUAACUCCGUGCCAGCAGCCGCGGUAAUACGGAGGGUGCAAGCGUUAUCCGGAUUCACUGGGUUUAAAGGGUGCGUAGGUGGGCUUGUAAGUCAGUGGUGAAAUCUCUGGGCUUAACCUGGAAACUGCCAUUGAUACUAUAGGUCUUGAAUUUUCUGGAGGACAGCGGAAUAUGUCAUGUAGCGGUGAAAUGCUUAGAUAUGACAUAGAACACCGAUUGCGAAGGCAGCUGUCUACGGGGAUAUUGACACUGAGGC
rnacentral:rRNA from 1 species